rnacentral:rRNA from 1 species
AGACAGUUCGGUCCCUAUCUGCUAUGGGCGUUGGAUGAUUGAGAGGAGCUGCAUUUAGUACGAGAGGACCGAUGUGGACGAACCUCUGGUGUACCUGUUGUUCUGCCAAGGGCACGUGCAGGGUAGCUAAGUUCGGAAGGGAUAACCGCUGAAGGCAUCUAAGUGGGAAGCCCACCUCAAGAUAAACCAUCCCUGAGGGUUCGACCCUCCUGAAGACUCCGGAGAGACUAUCCGGUUGAUAGGCUGCAGGUGUAAGCGCGGUGACGCGUUCAGCCGAGCAGUACUAAUAAGUCGUGAGGCUUGACCAUAU